AAACAACUACGAGUGAAAACUUAAAACUUAAAAGACUUGACGGUACUUCAAACCAACCUAGAGGAGCCUGUCUAAUAACCGAUAAUCCACGUUUAACCCAACCCGCUUUAGCCAACCAGUCUAUAUACCGCCGUCGCCAGCCCACCUUAUGAAAGAACCAAAGUGAGCCUAAUAAUACAACACUAACACGACAGGUCGAGGUGUAACAUAUAAGCGGGGACAGAUGGGCUACAUUUUCUAACACAGAAUAAACGAACAAGACUAUGAAACAACCUUUAAAGGCGGAUUUAGUAGUAAGCUAAGAACAAAGAACCUAGCUGAAACACAUGCAAUGAAGUGCGU
rnacentral:rRNA from 1 species